GCUGAAGCGGGGUAAUUCCCUCCUGCAAUUACUUUUGGAUGGAAGUAUGCCCCUUUCUCAGUAGAAGAUGGUAAUCUUGGAGAAUGACCAUGGAGAAGGGGAUGAGUUCUGGAGAAGGGCUGCCUUCCAGAUCAUCUCAGGUUUCGGCUGGUAAAAUAACAGCCAAAGAGUUGGAAACAAAGCAGUCCUAUAAAGAGAAACGGGGAGGCUUUGUGCUGGUGCAUGCAGGUGCAGGUUAUCAUUCUGAAUCCAAAGCCAAGGAGUAUAAACAUGUAUGCAAACGAGCUUGUCAGAAGGCAAUUGAAAAGCUGCAGGCCGGUGCUCUUGCAACUGACGCAGUCACUGCAGCACUGGUGGAACUUGAGGAUUCUCCUUUUACAAACGCAGGAAUGGGAUCUAAUCUAAAUCUGUUAGGUGAAAUUGAGUGUGAUGCCAGCAUAAUGGACGGAAAAUCCUUAAAUUUUGGAGCAGUUGGAGCGCUGAGUGGAAUCAAGAACCCAGUCUCAGUUGCCAACAGACUGUUAUGUGAAGGGCAGAAGGGCAAGCUCUCGGCUGGCAGAAUUCCUCCCUGGAAAAUGACUCAGGCACUUUGGACACGGUAGGCGCUGUGGUUGUGGACCACGAAGGGAAUGUUGCUGCUGCUGUCUCCAGUGGAGGCUUGGCCUUGAAACAUCCGGGGAGAGUUGGGCAGGCUGCUCUUUAUGGAUGUGGCUGCUGGGCUGAAAAUACUGGAGCUCAUAACCCCUACUCCACAGCUGUGAGUACCUCAGGAUGUGGAGAGCAUCUUGUGCGCACCAUACUGGCUAGAGAAUGUUCACAUGCUUUACAAGCUGAAGAUGCUCACCAAGCCCUGUUGGAGACUAUGCAAAACAAGUUUAUCAGUUCACCUUUCCUCGCCAGUGAAGAUGGUGUGCUUGGCGGAGUGAUUGUCCUCCGUUCAUGCAGAUGUUCUGCCGAGCCUGACUCCUCCCAAAAUAAGCAGACACUUCUAG
rnacentral:sRNA from 1 species